rnacentral:rRNA from 1 species
CAGUCGCCGCGGUAAUACAGAGGGUGCGAGCGUUAAUCGGAUUUACUGGGCGUAAAGCGUGCGUAGGCGGCUUUUUAAGUCGGAUGUGAAAUCCCUGAGCUUAACUUAGGAAUUGCAUUCGAUACUGGGAAGCUAGAGUAUGGGAGAGGAUGGUAGAAUUCCAGGUGUAGCGGUGAAAUGCGUAGAGAUCUGGAGGAAUACCGAUGGCGAAGGCAGCCAUCUGGCCUAAUACUGACGCUGAGGUACGAAAGCAUGGGGAGCAAACAGGAUUAGAGACCCGCGUAGUCCCUGUCUCUUAUAA